rnacentral:rRNA from 1 species
UACGGAGGGUGCAAGCGUUAUCCGGAUUCACUGGGUUUAAAGGGUGCGUAGGCGGGCAGGUAAGUCCGUGGUGAAAUCUCCGGGCUUAACUCGGAAACUGCCAUUGAUACUAUCUGUCUUGAAUACCGUGGAGGUCAGCGGAAUAUGUCAUGUAGCGGUGAAAUGCUUAGAUAUGACAUAGAACACCAAUUGCGAAGGCAGCUGGCUACACGAAUAUUGACACUGAUGCACGAAAGCGUGGGGAUCAAACAGG